rnacentral:rRNA from 1 species
UACGAAGGGGGCUAGCGUUGCUCGGAAUCACUGGGCGUAAAGGGUGCGUAGGCGGGUCUUUAAGUCAGGGGUGAAAUCCUGGAGCUCAACUCCAGAACUGCCUUUGAUACUGAAGAUCUUGAGUUCGGGAGAGGUGAGUGGAACUGCGAGUGUAGAGGUGAAAUUCGUAGAUAUUCGCAAGAACACCAGUGGCGAAGGCGGCUCACUGGACCGGUACUGACGCUGAGGCGCGAAAGCGUGGGGAGCAAACAGG